UACAGAGGUCUCAAGCGUUGUUCGGAUUCAUUGGGCGUAAAGGGCGCGUAGGCUGCGGGGCAAGUCGGGUGUGAAAUCUCAGAGCUCAACUCUGAAACUGCACUCGAUACUGCUUUGCUUGAGGACUGGAGAGGAGAUUGGAAUUCACGGUGUAGCAGUGAAAUGCGUAGAUAUCGUGAGGAAGACCAGUGGCGAAGGCGGAUCUCUGGACAGUUCCGUGACGCUGAGGCGCGAAGGCCAGGGGAGCAAACGGG
rnacentral:rRNA from 1 species